GGGAGCGGGAUUCGGGCGAGAGCCAGUGGUGGAGUCCGCCCGCUGUCGCCUGCGUAAGCGGGGCAGCGACGCCGGGCGGCUACGCCGCGGAACCGGCGUAGGCGGCUUUGGAGAAUCGGCGGGCUGCGCUGCGCCCGGGCUGGUCGCGGAGGGGGGAGGGGAUGUCGGUCAGUGCGAGAUCCGCUGCUGCUGAGGAGAGGAGCGUCAACAGCAGCACCAUGGUGGUAAAGAGGAUUUCUCUCUCCUUACCCACCAAUCUGGAAGUAAAAAUGUACUCUCCUGACUCUCCUGAAGAGGUCACAUGUUUAAUCUCUUCUGUUUACCUCUGGGGCCACAACUGAGUUCAUUUGAGAGGCAAGGCUCCAGGUCAGAAUUUCACAUUGGCACUGUUGUAAUUUAGAGUUUUAUACUUCUUUGUUUGGGGGACUGUCCUGUGCAUUGUACAGUGUUUACCAGCAUCCCUGUGCACUGCCCACUAGAUGCCAAUACCAGUUCCCCAGUUGUGACCAAAAAAUGUUGCAGACCUUGCCAAAUGUCACAGGGUAGGGGGGGAGAAUGACCCCAGAUUGAGAACCACUGAAUGAGGUUGAUGGAGAAGCCAUUGAGGGAUUAUAGGAGAUGGAGAAGGAAGAAGUCUUUCUUAGCUAUCUAGUCCAUAAUUAUUCCUUGUAGAGCUUUCACCAUAGGAAUUAUGAUCUUACAUUAGGGAUCAGAAUCACCUAGGGUGAGGGUCAGCCACAGCCCCUUGUUAAAAAUGCACGGACACCUGAGUGACUCAGUUGGUUGGGUGUCUUCGGCUCAGGUCGUGAUCUCACAGUUUGUGAAUUUGAGCCCCACAUUGGGCCCUGUGCUGACAGCUUAGAGCGUGGAGCCUGCUUCUGAUUCUGUGUCUCCCUCUCCCUCUGCCCCUCCCCUGCUUGCGCUCUGUAUCAAAAAUAAAUAAACAUUAAAAAUAAAUUUAUAAAAAAAAUGCAGAUUGACUGGUUCCCACCACAGACCCAGUGAUCCACAUCUCUAAGAGGGGCCCAAGAAUCUGCACUUUUAAAUGUUUUCUGAACUAAGUAACUUUAUUGAGGUAUAGGUUUCAUACAAUAAAAUGCACAGAUUUUAAGUGUUCAAUGAAUUUUGGUAAAUAUAUACACCUUGUGGCUUUUAUUCCAGUCAAGAUGAAGAACAUUUGCAUCACCCCAGAGUUUUUCUUUUUCUUAAUGUUUAUUAUUUUUGAGAGCAAGAAAGAGCGUGAGCGGGGAGGGGCAGAGAGAGAGGGAGACACAGAAUCUGAAGCAGGCUUCAAGCUCUGAGCUGUCAGUACAGAGCUUGACAUGGGGCUCAAACUCAUGAACUGCGAGAUCAUGACCUGAGCUGAAGUUGGACACCCAACUGACCGAGCCACCCAGGUGUUCCACCCCAGAGUUUCUUAUGCCCCUGUGCAGUUAUUCUCUACUGCUCGGUGUAAUCACUGAUCUGAUUUCUAAUAUGCAUAGGUGAAUUAAAAAAAUUUUUUUUAAAGAAAUAGCUUUAAUGAGAUAUAAUUCGUAUGCAGUGGAUUCAUUUAAAGUGGUUUUUCUCAGUAUUUUUUUAAAGUCUUUUCCCCCUAACUUUUUUUUUUUUUUUUUUUUUUAACCUUUAUUUAUUUUUGAGACAGAGGGAGACAGAGCAUGAAUGGGGGAGGGUCAGAGAGAGGGAAGACACAGAAUCUGAAACAGGCUCCAGGCUCUGAGCUGUCAGCACAGAGCCCGACGUGGGGCUUGAACUCACGGACUGCGAGAUCACGACCUGAGCCACCCAGGCGCCCCUCCCCC